rnacentral:rRNA from 1 species
GGGUUAAGUCCCGCAACGAGCGCAACCCCUAUCAUUUGUUACCAGCACGUAAAGGUGGGGACUCAAAUGAGACCGCCGCGGACAACGCGGAGGAAGGCGGGGACGACGUCAAGUCAUCAUGCCCCUUAUGACCUGGGCUACACACGUACUACAAUGGGUGUCAACAAAGAGAAGCGAAACCGCGAGGAAGAGCAAACCUCAAAAACACACCCCCAGUUCAGAUCGCAGGCUGCAACCCGCCUGCGUGAAGGAGGAAUCGCUAGUAAUCGCGGGUCAGCAUACCGCGGUGAAUACGUUCCCGGGCCUUGUACACACCGCCCGUCACACUAUGAGAGUCAGAAACACCCGAAGCCGGUGAGGUAACCGCAAGGAGCCAGCCGUCGAAGGCGGAGCUGAUGAUUGGAGUGAAGUCGUAACAAGGUAGCCGUAUCGGAAGGUGCGGCUGGAUCACCUCCUUUCUAAGGAGA